ACCGCCCAAGAGUUCAUAUCGACGGCGGUGUUUGGCACCUCGAUGUCGGCUCAUCACAUCCUGGGGCUGAAGUAGGUCCCAAGGGUAUGGCUGUUCGCCUUUAAAGUGGUACGCGAGCUGGGUUUAGAACGUCGUGAGACAGUUCGGUCCCUAUCUGCCGUGGGCGCUGGAGAAUUGAGGGGGGCUGCUCCUAGUACGAGAGGACCGGAGUGGACGCAUCACUGGUGUUCGGGUUGUCAUGCCAAUGGCACUGCCCGGUAGCUAAAUGCGGAAGAGAUAAGUGCUGAAAGCAUCUAAGCACGAAACUUGCCCCGAGAUGAGUUCUCCCUGAGACUUUAAGUCUCCUGAAGGAACGUUGAAGACGACGACGUUGAUAGGCCGGGUGUGUAAGCGCAGCGAUGCGUUGAGCUAACCGGUACUAAUGAACCGUGAGGCUUAACCUUACAACGCCGAAG
rnacentral:rRNA from 1 species